rnacentral:misc_RNA from 1 species
AUAUGGUUCAAAUAUAUAAGGUCACGGCUUCGGGCUAGUAAAACAACUUGUCUAACUGUGAGCUUAGAAAAAUACUUUUUUAACUGUGGACAACAGCAGUAUGCAUCCUAUUGAACAAAAUUGCCUCUCCCAACUACAGGAGAAAAAGAGGUAAGGCCACACCAUGUAUAUACAUCUCAACAAUAGGCUAUUCUUUCUAUGCUACAAAGGUCCUAAAUAAUCAGCAACAAAACUAUCGCCAAUACUCUCAGAUUCCCGAGCUCAGUGCACAACUCUUAAGUAGGGAAAACAUGGUAUCGUCCCACGAUGAGUGUCCAGUUUGUCCAGUCCUGCCAAGUGUUGUAUAUGUGCCCUGAUAUCAUAUAGGGUUAGGAACGGCAGAAUGCUGCAAGGUGCUCAUUACCUUUCAAAACAAGGGUCAGAAGGCAAAAUUCCUGCGCUACACACCCUUGAGGAAGAGGCUUCUAGAGAUUUUCACAAUUAACUUCAGAGAUAUUGCCGUAAGCUUUCACCACUCAUCGAUUCCAUCUCCUUGAGAAUUUCUUGUGCAAGAGACUUGACAGGAAGCUCAACAUCUUCAAGCAGCUCCCCAAGGAAGGGAAUGGUUUCGGCCAACAAGACCAGAUAUUCUUCUUUCAGAUUCUCCACCAUAUACUUAACAAUUCUCAAACCCAGAAUUCGAGAGCGCAACUUCUCACUACGAGUUUGCAUCAGCACCUCAUGGUUUAGCGGCUUCCAGAGGAGGUCAGAACCAGCAGUUACAGCCAUCCGACCAACACAUGCAACUAAUAAAUCAUCAACUUCUUCCACAGAUGGCACAUUGGGGUAUUGCAUCAGCGCAACUGGUGGGUCUGUUACAAGCUGCGACACUAUCGGUUUUAAAAGAGCCUGAAAAUUUGCUGAGUCUAAAAACUUCAGUGUCCCAGUGUCAUACAGGAAAGAUUUAUGCAGGGAAGACAAAAUCAAAGCUCUCAGAUGCCACAAACCAAUGGACAAACCACAAUUAGUAUCCUUCUUCUUGCUGUUGCUUUCCUGAAGCUUCACUUUUUUCUUCUUGUGCUUUAGAGUUGAUUCUGCACCUUCAGCAUCCAUGAGAUGUCUCACACAGCCAUCAAGCAAGUGCUUGAAAUUUGGUACAAACAACGACCUUUGGCUGUCAGCUAGACUGUUAACCAAGCCAUAGAAGGCAAUAGAUCGAUCUAUACUUUUGGUCCCUACAUUCUCAUUUUCUUCAACAAUCGACUCUGACCAUUCAAUACUCCUCAUGAAAAGAGGUUUGAACAUUUUCUCUGUAAGUUUCAUGGUAAGCGCCACCACCGUAUUGAUGACAUUCUUCUCGACAGCAUCAACAUUUUUAACAGCAGCAGGGUGCUGACGACGCAGGUCAAGACCUUGUAAGCAUACGUCAAAAAUUCUUACAUGAUAGGCACCAACCGAUGAUCUAUCCAUAGCAGCCACAAGGUUUUGUAUCAUUUCAAAAGCAACCGAUACACUAGAAUCCCCACACGUAAUUGCAUCAGAAUAUACCCUCAGCAGUGGAGAAAGUAGAAGACGAACAGGGACUCUUUCAGAGAUUAGCUUUCGUACAGAAUCAGCUUUCAGCUUCAGUUUUAGUUCUGACGUGGAAGUGUACUGAGGCUUCAAUAACAUAAGUUCCAAAAUAUCACCAAGAUAUGGAUUUAAAAAGCCACCAAGCUUGUUUACAACUGCCUCUAGGGCGAGCAAAAUAGACAUAAAGACAGAAUCAUUCUGAAUUGAUGAAACUGUGGAAGCAUCACCAUCAGAUGGUUUGGUUUCUGCUGUUACAGUUGACAAAUCAUUGUGAGAUUGCCUAAUCAAGCCUUCCAUGACAAAAGGUAGCUGAGGGAGCGCCUUUGGUCCUAGCACAUUAAUCAAGGCACCAGCUGUACGAAGGCAACUAGAAGAAAGGGCAGAAUUGUCCGUGCAGAUGCUUUUACUAACAGAAUCUAAGCAUGCGCUAAAUACUGAAUUAUCUGAAGGAAACCUAUUUGCUAAAACUUCCAGUGUUGACACUGCUGCCAGUUUCAAAGAACUACUUGAUUCACUCUGUGAAUUAACUAAUUUUAAUAUCUCAAGACACAAAGUAUCCAGUGAUUGCAAAGA